CAACUAAGGAGCCCACCUGCUGCAACUAAGACCUGGUGCAACCAAAUAAAUAAAUAAAUAUUAAAAAACAAAAAAAGAAGAAGUUAUAUAGUUGGAUCUCCAAGUUGGAUAACUUGAAUACGGAAAAAGUGUGAAUAUUUUGAGGACACAGUGAAAACAGCAGGUUUUGAGGAUAAAGUCACAAUAAAGGAAAGAGGAGGAGGAGACUGUUAGAACCUUCCAGAUGUCUUGAAGAAAGUAGUUUUACAAGUCUAAAAAUAACUGAGAUAUUUGGAUAGGACGACAAUCUGACAACUAUGUCUGUGAAUGUUUCCCUAUACACAUUUAUGUUUAUUCAGUCAAGCUCUCCAUGUAUCGUGGGAUGUGCCGUUUCUCAGCUAUGAUAAUCACUUGGCAUCAGAAUCUGCCGGAGGGUUUGCGUGAGUUGCCUUCUGGGUCAUGUAGUGGCAAGUUGAGGGCAGCCAUGAUGGGCUGUGGGUGGUUAGGAAAAGGCAGUGGUUCUAUGGGAGGCUGGUAGAGUUAUUUACAAAGCUUUAGGUAUUUUAGGCAAACCAUUCUAAAACUGACUUUUUCAAAGAUGCGUCAACAGAGGUUUCAAAACUGGCCAGAAAUGAUGGUUCCCGGCUCUAAUGCAAGUUAGCUACAUCUCCUGGAAUUACAAUCUAAAGUGUUCCUUCAUUCAUUGAUUCAAGAAAAGUAUAGAGAGAAGCUAAUGUUUGCCAGAAACUGUCAUGCCCUGGGGAUGCUCCAGUGAUCAACACAGAAUGUGCACCCUGCUUUCCCUGAGCUUGCGUCUGGUAGGGAUGGUAUAUGAGUAACUGGUUCUUAUAGUGCAGUAUGAUAAGACCUUUGUGGAGUCUUAGAGGACGUCCAAGGUGGCACUGACCUAGUCUUUGGAGGAAAGGGUGUAUUGGUCUGCAAAUAGCAGACUCCAUCCCCUCACCUUGACCUCUCCCCAGGGAGGGGGAAAGAACAGUGGCUUUAACAACUAAGAAGUUUAUAUUUCCAGAAGCAGGCAGUCCAGGCUUUUAUGGCAGCUCAAAGAUGCCAUCAGAGCCUUUGCUCAGUCAUUCUUGGCAUAUGGAUUGUGUCCUCAUGGCUGCAAAAUGGCUUUUAAAGUUCUAGGCGCAAUUCUGCAUUCCAGGUAGUAAGAAGAGGAAGAUCAGAUGGCAAAAUGCCAGAUGAAUCUGUUGGAGGUUUUCCAGAGUCUCAAUCCAGCACCUGCUUAUCUUUUUGGCCACAGCUGUGUCCCAUGGCUACGCUAGAUGCAAGGGUGGUGAGAAAUGUAGCUUUUGCCUCAAAACUUCGCCAAGUCAGGUUGAAGUGGACUUGCGUUCAUCAGGAAGAAGGCAAAGUGGCUACAGGGAAGGCGAUUCCCACUUUACCCAGGGGCCAGUUUAUGUAGAGGAAGCAGGCGCUGUAUUCCUGGCCACUGUGUUGUAGCCUCCAUGGGUUUUGCUUUUGUUUUUGCAGCUCUCACUGCUCUAGCAGUUGCAGGUGAUCACAAGGCAGGAGCAGGUACGGGGACCUGCUGAAGCCUGAAAUCGCUUCCCCCGAUUCCCCCCAUUUCGGGCAGACCCACCUGCAAGCAGGCUGGGUGUGCUCCAUGUUGGUUGCAACAGGGAACCAGACAGAUUCCCCUUCCCCGAGGCUCCGCAUUCAGUGAAGACGUCAAAAACACAACCAUUCCCAUUUUAAGCAUUUCACUGUUUUUACACAUUAUAUUAAUUCCUCCCAGCAAACUUGAAGGGAAAGCAAGUAUGUGGUCUCAUUAUAAGGAUAAGGAAACAGAAGGCCAGAGAGGGUGGAGACUUGCCCAGGGCCACACUGCAGGUUAGGGGCAAACACUGGACCAAGAUGCUGGGCUUGCACUUCUCUCCUGUCCAGAGCCAGCUCCUGCCCUGGUGUGGAUGCCUAUGAGCUGCCCACAUUCAGCAGGGUUGAGCUGAAAGCCUGGCUCAGGUAAGCAGGGGGAUUGGAGAAGGAGGACGGACGAGCUGGGGGCCGCAGGCAUCGGAGCCGUCAGCCAUGGUAUCUGCCAGCUUUGCUGAUCGGUCCCCACUGCGCUGGUCCCCUCCAGUUCCUGCAGGGGAGACGGUGGCGGCUUUCCUUGUGGUCAUAAGCUUCGGGAAGGUGCUCCCAUCCUUGGCCUUCUAGGAUGGCGCCUCCCUGGACAAGUUCCCCUCUUUUCCCAGUCAAACGCCGCUGGUUCUUUUCCCUUCGCAGAAGACCUGGGAAAGUUGGUCUUAUUCUCUUCAGUCCCUUCUUGCUCUCAGUUCCUGUGGAGUCUCCUUGGCUGUAAGCAGGCUUCAGGGCGGAGCCGCUCUGAGCCAGCCUUGGGAUGGAACGGCCCUGGCCUUCCCCCAGCACUCUCACUUUCUCUCCCUUCCCUCCCAGCCGUGGCUCUGGCUGUCUCCCCAACCCUGUCCAGUCCUGGCAGCCACGAUCUCGAUGUUAGUUGCUAAGAGGAACUUUCAUACUUUCCCCAUGGACCAUGCCUGGGCCCUAAGCUCAGGACCAAGCUGGGUCUCCACGGAGGCUCACGAAGGCAGCUGCGUGGACAGGAUGCGCUGAGCUGUCCCUCUCAUCACCGUUCCCACAGUCUGCAAUGCUCUCCCAGCUCCUACGAGGCCUAUGCAUGACUCAGGAUUCAGUUCAAGCUUAUCUCCUUUGGCAGGUCUUCCCUGCCCCCUGCCCCCUCCACCGUCACAGGCUCACCAGUGUUGGAGGAUUCCCUCCCCAGGGCCCACGGGUCUCAAAGCAUCGACCCCCGCUGCAGUGUACUAUCUGUGUAUAUGUCUUCUUCCUCCCUCCCCCUGAGUGUUAGAUCCUUGCAUUCUCUAGAUCUAACCAGUGCCUGGCACUUAGUAGGCCCUCAACACAUACCGGAUGAAUCAAGGAUGCAUUAUGGUGCAGGAUAUUAUGAAAGCAUGUGGGAAAAGCUUCUGUCACCUUCUUGAGGUACCUUAAGCUGAAGCAGUUGCAGAGAGGGAAAGAAAUAAUCAUAGUGUGUGUUUGUUGAGCACUUAGUAUAUGCCAGGCAUGAUCACAGGCUCUUUGCAGGUCCCUGAAUCUUUACAACAACCUCCAUUUUGCUCAUUAGAAAACAGGCACAGAGAGGUUAAGUAACUUACUCAAGGUCCCACAGCCAGGAAGUGGUGGAGGAAUUUCAACUGUGGAGCUCAGGCUGUUAACCCUUUACCACAUGUGCUGCAUCUUUAGUGCCAGCUCCCCACCCUCCCAGCCAAGCAAGAGCCCUCAUGUGUAUUAAUUAGACUAAAAGACAAGACACAGCCUUCCCAGCCCUUGCCACUCAUCCCUGUGCCGAUGUGGGAGUGAGAGGCAGAAGGGAGGGCUGAGGGCCAGCUGCGGGGGAAGCUGGGGAGACCUCUACAGCACAGGUGCGUCCUCGGCAGCCUGGGACACAGCACUCAUGGCUGAGGAGCUGGGGCCCUUCCUCCACAAGAUGGGGCAGGGAGAAGUGGCUGGGUGGAGACCCACAUCAGGGCGGGAAAGGUGCCGGAGCGUCCCCAUCACCCGAGGAGAAAGGUGACUCCUGUUUAUCAGUCAGGGGUGAGCUGGGAACAGCUCUCAAUAACACAGCACUCUGGCUUUGGGAGCAGAGCUGGUUGCUUUCUCCUGGCAGAGCUAGGAAAUAGAACCACCCAGGCAGGGCUCGCUCUUACCCACGAAUGUCUCCUUCCGUUCAGGUGUUGCCACAGUCUCUGAAAUGCCACCACUGGCGAGAGAUUUGGAAACAUUAUCCGUUUCUGUUCUUGCAAGAUAAAAAGAGUUCAUGUCAUUUUAGAACUUGUCAUGAAAAGCAUUCAGAUUCCCUAUCUCAGUUGAAUCUCCCAGGUUGGCUAUAAAGCCUGAGGGCUCGCAGUAGCUAUUGAGGCACUCAAGUGAUGCGCCUGUUUGACUCGUACACAGACUGCCUGAAUCCCACUUCUGACCAGCUACAGAACCUGGGCAGCUCACCUGCCCUCCCACUGCCUCAGCUCUCUUUGCCCAUAAAUGGGGUGAUGAUAGUACCUACUCAUAGAACUGUCAGGACUAAAUAAGUGACCGAUGUGACAUGUGGCAUCAUGCAGCAUCAUCUGGCACGCGGCAAGGGGUAAUGUAAGCAUCAGCUGUUAUCAUUUUUCUGUUUUAUAGGUGAGGAAAAGUGAGGCUCAGAGAGGUGAAGUGACUUUCCCCAGGUCACACAGCCAGUUGGUGGCAGAAUGAAGAUCCAAUCUCUGUAACUUGAUCUUCCAACUUCUCCUGGGAUGUUUGGUAACCGGCCCAGGAGAUGGGCUAGAGGAGAGCAGAGCCAUGGUGCUCUCAGACUUGAUUGUUUGGGCUGCCUCUGCAUUUGUCACUACCAUGUGAAGAUGUGGUAAGACCCACCCUUUAUGGGACAAGAGAAGCUGUCCUCAUGGAGGUGCCCCUUCGAUGUAUGAUGGCAUUUCCUGUGGUAUUUGGGCCCUUUGGGGAAGCAUAAAUUAGCUAAUAUCUAAGAAGCAGGGGGCCCCAGCCAGGGCACUGGGCAGGCACUGUAGUCCUGACGGUAUGUGGCAUAGGGGCAGUGUUCUGUCUAAACAAAACUGUCCCUGAGCUCCGUGGCCCUGGGGACAAGACCCACCAUUCCCUGGGCUGUAAUCCUCGAGAAGGAGGUUGGGAAGUCUAGCUGGCAGGCAGCUCUCACGGGCUAACCCAGAAAGGUGGCUUGGUCUCGAGGACAUUGGCACCGUAGCAGGCAAGUGGCAAAAAAAUGUCAGUGAGAUAUAUGUGUUUGAAAGACAACACUAGGCCAUGAACUUUCCCGGAGGGCGUGGCUCAGACUGGGGAGCUCCCAGAGGGCCACCUACGUGUUUGAAAGACAGCACUAGGCCGUGAGCUUUCCCAGACGGCGUGGCUGAGACUGGAGACCUCCCAGAGGGCCACCUGGCCUUUUUCUGGCUCUUGCCCAUUCUCCACACGUCGGGCCGUGGGCACGUGCUCUGCAGGGCCAGCUGUGAGGCUGGGGUCUGCUGUCUGGUCCUCCCUCCCUCGUGCGUACGGGGGACCUGGGGGGGCCCUAAGCCGGAGCUGCUGCCCCAGACUGCAGCAAAGCCGCGUCGUGACCACUGCCCUCAGGCCCGAGCUGGCUUAGGCUUCACCAGAAAGGAAAACGCCCCCUCCUUGUGCAAUGGGUGCAGCCUCUUCUGGAAUCUUCCACAAGCCAAGCCUGACUGAGCGUGGGUGACCGGGGACCCGGGCACUUGUCUAUUCAUUUUGUAUCCUUUUAAUAUUGUUGUUACAGAAGUAAACACCCCCAAAGUAGAAAAGUUAGAAAAUAUGGAUGACAAGAGACAUGAAAACCAUCCAUAACGCUGCCUUCCGGAAGUAAGUCCGGUUUACUUUUCCUUCCAGUCUUUUUUCUGUGUCCACAUGCGUGUGCACGACGUGCUCCUUAUUCAAAUGAGAACAUAGGAUGAACUGCGCCUGGGGAAUCCGAUUCUUCUUCAUUUCACACAGUAGGGGUGAGCACGUAUCUCUGUCAGAGCACAUUUUUCUUUGCCAACAUGUUUCCUCACUAUUUGUUUUCCCUAAGCCCUCUUUCAAACGUGUUCAGCACUUGGUUUGGGUCACAGGUCCCAACUGGAUCCCAGGAUCCGGCCCUUUUGAGCUAAGUGUGCCAGGGCAGGCCCUGUAGUUUUGAGUAAUGGAAAAGCCCCAGGCUGGCUGUUUGCAGCAAGUGUUCGUGCCCAGCCCUGCCCUGACUCAUGGGCCAUCUUAGACGAGUCACUUCACCCCUCUGGGUCUCAGUUUCUUUGCCUAUGAAACGGGAUGGCUGGUUUAAGGGCUCUGCCAGCUCUGAAGUGCUAUGACUAAGCAGCUGGAGACUCACAGGAUUCCAGAAGACUCUGGGAGCGAUGCUGCUGAGGGGGAGUUGCUUCUUCCUGCAAAGGACCAGAGAAGCCUGUCCUGGCUUCCUGAGGGAAGAGGGAAGCGUAAAACAGGCUGUGCCCUAGAGCCAUCCUCUGCUCUGAAGAGACCGCCUGUCCGGACCACUUACAGCACUUGUAAGAUCGGACCAGAUCACCCUCAGCCCCAUUUCUCACAGACUGGGAUGAAGAUGGGCAGGAUUUCCCUUCCAGUUCUACUGCAGGCAGAACAGCUCCAACCAGCGUGUGGUAGAGACUGCCCUCGGGACCAGGGCGUUUCCCUAGAGAUGAGGGGAAGCCACUCAGCAUGUGUGUGUGCAUCUUUUGUGCACACACCUGAAGACACCAGUUAUGCUUACUGCAUCUUAAUAUGUUUUUAAAAUAUGAUCGUUUUAUGAUUCAAAAGUUAUAUAUAUAUAUAUUUAUAACGUGCAUACAAACGUCUAGUCGAGACAAUUUUAAAUCACCCAUAAUGUAAUAAUAAUAUUGUGGUUAUGUUAUUUUAAAGAGCUUUUAUCUUUUAGAGACACACUCUGAAAUAUUUACAGAUUAAAAAGCCAUGAUGUCUGGGAUUUGUUUCAAGAUAAUCCAGAGCUGAGGAAGGAAGUAGGAGGUGCAGACAGAUAAAAUAGACCAUGACUUGAUAAUUGUUGACGCUGGGUGAUGUGUACAUGGGAAUUCAUUAUACUUUUCUCACUAUCUGUUUAUUUAUAUUUAUGAUUGAAAUUUUCUAUAAUUAAAAGUUUUUUUUAAAGAUUUCCACCUUCCUUUUGUGCAUAAAAAUUCCAUUAAAUCUUCAUUGCCUUGUUCGGAAAAAAAUCACCAAUAAUCUCACCCCAUAUGCUUCCAGCCCUCUUUCAAUACAAAGAUAUACAAAGAGAGAGACUGUACUCUAUUGGGAUUUGUAACAAUGUGUUGAAAAUAAGACCUUAUUUAUUUGGUCAAUAUUAAUAUUUGCACACUCUAUUUCUUUUUUUAUUGAAGUAUAGUUGAUUUACAAUGUUAUGUUAGUUUCUGGUGUACAGCAAAGUAAUUCAGUU